CAUGAAUAAAUUUUUUUUCAUCAUGCUCAUGAGAUGACAUUUUUAAUCAUGUUUGAGAUUCUACACGAUACUUUGAGCUUCAAAUUGAUGGUUAAGUUUGAUAAAAGAAAUUUGAAAUUCCUUUGCAGUCGGUCCUAAUCACCUGGACAAUUGUGAAUUGCCCAAAGCAGAGCAAUACAGAAAUGUUGGAUACAAACUCCAAGUUUGUUUAAAAUAUAUACCUUCAAAACAAAAUUAUUUUCCAUUCCUAAUAAUUCCAGCC
rnacentral:lncRNA from 1 species